rnacentral:rRNA from 1 species
GAUGAACGCUAGCUACAGGCUUAACACAUGCAAGUCGAGGGGCAGCACAGUGUAGCAAUACAUGGGUGGCGACCGGCGCACGGGUGCGUAACGCGUAUCCAACCUUCCCGUUACUCUUGGAUAGCCUUCCGAAAGGGAGAUUAAUACAGGAUGGUGUUCAAAUUCCGCAUGUUAUUUGAACUAAAGAUUUAUCGGUAACGGAUGGGGAUGCGUGACAUUAGGUAGAUGGCGGGGUAACGGCCCACCAUGCCUACGAUGUCUAGGGGUUCUGAGAGGAAGGUCCCCCACACUGGAACUGAGACACGGUCCAGACUCCUACGGGAGGCAGCAGUGAGGAAUAUUGGUCAAUGGUCUGACGACUGAACCAGCCAUGCCGCGUGAAGGUGACGGCCCUAUGGGUCUUAAACUUCUUUUGUAAGGGAGCAAUAAGCGCCACGUGUGGCGUGAUGAGAGUACCUUACGAAUAAGCAUCGGCUAAACUCCGUGCCAGCAGCCGACGG